UUUUAAAAUAAUUAAAGUAGAGUCUCAUCAUUUUCAUCGCUAUUUUAAUGUUUAUAUUUUUCUUUUGUUUUUUUAUAUCGUUUACACUGGCGGGGGAGUGUGUGGGGGUAUGCCUUGUGGAGUCCCCCUCUUCCCCCUCGUAGGUUGAUAGCGCGUGAGUGCGUGAGAAUUCGGGGAAUUAAAUAGAAGCUUAUCGUCUGUCGUCCGAGCUGGUUGCGUGUGUCAUGGCGGAUACCUGUCUUAUAUAUAAUUGGUAUUAAUUAAAUAAAUAUAAUCAGUGGUGAUAAUUAUAGUGUCUCAUUAUAUCUGCCCUUCAUAUAUGGAGUCUGUGUGAUCCACUACUAGGAUCCACACAAACAUAAAACUGGUUUAUCUUAAUGAGGAUGUAUCCAUAAACUCAGAAAUUUGGAACGCUAUCAAAAUACAGCGAAAAGAAAGCGUAUUCGUAAAAGACUUGGUGGUAGCAAUUUGGCGCGAAGGUCUUAAAGACAGAUGUUUUACAGGACGGGCAAGAGCACGAAGUGCAGGACAAAUUCGAAAAUCAUUCGAAGUAAAUAAGCUUGCCGCCAUAUACCAAGCUUUAUUCGAUCGCUUGGAGGAAAAAGGAAAACAGCCAGUGAUAAGGGAAUGUGAAGUUUUUGUUCACCGAAAAUUGACAGAAAAAGUGAACGAUCUAAACAAAGAUAAUUUGACGCCAGAAGAAAUUAUGGAG